CCUACGGGGAGCAGCAGUGAGGAAUAUUGGUCAAUGGACGAGAGUCUGAACCAGCCAAGUAGCGUGAAGGAUGACUGCCCUAUGGGUUGUAAACUUCUUUUAUAUGGGAAUAAAACGUUCCACGUGUGGGAUUUUGUAUGUACCAUAUGAAUAAGGAUCGGCUAACUCCGUGCCAGCAGCCGCGGUAAUACGGAGGAUCCGAGCGUUAUCCGGAUUUAUUGGGUUUAAAGGGAGCGUAGGUGGAUUGUUAAGUCAGUUGUGAAAGUUUGCGGCUCAACCGUAAAAUUGCAGUUGAAACUGGCAGUCUUGAGUACAGUAGAGGUGGGCGGAAUUCGUGGUGUAGCGGUGAAAUGCUUAGAUAUCACGAAGAACUCCGAUUGCGAAGGCAGUUCACUGGACUGCAACUGACACUGAGGCACGAAAGUGUGGGUAUCAAACAGGAUUAGAUACCCUUGUAGUC
rnacentral:rRNA from 1 species